rnacentral:rRNA from 1 species
AUUGAACGCUGGCGGCAGGCCUAACACCUGCAAGUCGAACGAGUGGCGGACGGGUGAGUAAUGUCUGGGAAACUGCCCGAUGGAGGGGGAUACCUACUGGAAACGGUAGCUAAUACCGCAUACCAUCGGAUGUGCCCAGAUGGGCUUAGCUAGUAGGUGGGGUAACGGCUCACCUAGGCGACGAUCCCUAGCUGGUCUGAGAGGAUGACCAGCCACACGUGAACUUAGCCCCGGUCCAGACUCCUACGGGAGGAAGCUGUGGGGAAUAUUGAACACUGGGCGCAAGCCUGCUGCAGCCAUGCCGCGUGUAUGAAGAAGGCCUUCGGGUUGUAAAGUACUUUCAGCGAGGAGGCGUUACUCGCAGAAGAAGCACCGGCUAACUCCGUGCCAGCAGCCGCGGUAAUUC